AAAAGAAUUAAAAAGAUGUUGAGAAUUUGAUUAAUUUGCUGAUCUCUGUUUUCUAACUUUCUAUAUUUUGACUUCUAUAAUCCAUACAAAUGCAUUUAUAGACUUUUUUAUAUAUACUGAAUAAAAAUAGAAAAGGAAUUCAUUAAAUACUCUUUAAAGAGGAGGGCCUUUAUAUUACAGGGUAAAGAGCUGAUCAUUUGGGGGGAAAAUUGAUUAGUCUUGUAACCAAGCUGUUGUUUAAAGAAAAUCUUUUUUUUUUUUUUAAGGUGGACCAAAUUGCGAAUUAACAUGCUUCCUGCUACAAUAAUUUGUGAGCCAAUUUCAGAGUGCUUUGUUGCCAGUUUAAUUAUCGGAUGGGCAGCCCACCAUGUAUUCAGAUGGGAUAUUAUGGUAUUUUUCAUGUGUCAUUGCCUGGCAUGGUUUAUAUUUGACUACAUUCAACUCAGGGGUGUCCAGGGUGGCACACUGUGUUUCUCAAAACUUGAUUAUGCAGUAGCCUGGUUCAUCCGUGAAUCCAUGACAAUAUACAUUUUUUUGUCGGCAUUAUGGGACCCUACCAUAAGCUGGAGAACUGGUCGCUACAGAUUGCGCUGUGGAGGCACAGCGGAGGAAAUUCUAGAUGUAUAACGACAGCUUUGUGACUGUACAUAAAGGAAAAAAAGAGAAGUAUUAUAAAUUAUGUUUAUAUAAAUGCUUUUAAAGAUCUACCUUCAGUAGUUUUAUCACAUGUAUGUUUGAUAUCUGUUCUUUAAUUUAUUUUGCAUGGCACUUGCAUCUGUGAAGAAAAAAAAAAACACAUCUGUAGUCUUGGCCAAAUGGUACACUUUAUUUUGUGGAAGUAGUGAAUCAAGAGAAUUGGUUCUAGGAACCUGGGUUUGGUUUUUGUUGUUGUUUGUUUAUUUUUUAAAAAUAAAUAAAUAUAUAUAUAUAUAAAAUAUAUGAAUGCUCUGCAACAAACACUAUGACAGUAUCCUUCAGUAGAGAAAGUUUCUUAUUUGUGAGUACACUCUUUUAGAACAUUCAUGGGAUGGCAGCAGCUUUGUUUUGGGGUUUAGGAAAGGCUAGAAAGUAAUCCCUUUACGUGUCUAAAGUGAAAGGUAUUAUGUGGUGGACAGCCCACAGCGGGGUACUAACUAAGAAACUUUUUCAUGCUCUAUGCCUACCUCUUGUAGUUGUUGCAGAGCAAAUAUAAAUUGUAAUAAGGUAGCUAGGCCUUGCAAAAACAAAUGGGAAAACUUUAAAAAUAAUAAUAAAAGAGCUGGAGUCUAGUAUUUAUAUGAAUCUGUGAGAGAGAUUUUUUUGGUCUCACUGCAAUGAACCAAAAGUGGUUGAGUUGGGUUUUUAAUUGUAGCCAUGUAUUGAAGGCAUCCUUUUGACCAACUCCUGUUGGUUCUGUCUUGAACCAUUGUUAAUCACUGUGCUGGUAAACCUUUCCUUCCUUGCUCCUUACCCGACCCCACCCCAUCUUUCCUGAACUUUUUUUGGGGGGGGGGGCGGUGGUGGUGGUUUUGUUUUAGUGUGAGUGGAUGUUUUGAUAGUUGUGAGGAAAAAUGCAUUUCAGACACAUUUCACACAUGAGCUAUUUUCUUACACAGUAUGUCUUAUUGUUAAAAAGAAUGUAAUUUCAUGAUACAGGUAUUUAAUAUCUUUUUUAAGUAAAUAUUCUAGCCAUCAAAUAAAUUGCAGUAGAGUAUUAAGUGGGGACAAGAUGAGUUUUCCUCUUAAAAUUAAUCAGUAUCAAACUAAGUCUACUGUGUAUGUGUUUUUUUUUUUAACUCUUACAGUUAGUCUAGUCUUAUUUAAAUUGGAUUUUUGUAUUCCAGUUUGUAUGACAGAAUAGACUAGAUUGGCGCUAGUUGUAAAUGCAUGCUGUCUUUCACUCUUCUCUCCCCAUCCUGCCGCUAAACUUGCUUGUCAGGUUGUACUUAACUUGUGGUGAACUGGACUAGUUACUGUUUUUUUUAAAAAAAAAAUAGGCAAAAUGUAAGGGACAGUGCAUAAGCCUUUUUUCUUCUGUAGUGGAAUUUUUGCUUUUUCUUCAGGAUUGGAUGGCAUGUUGUCCACAUGAACGCCUGCUGCAGGGCUGACGCCAGCAAUAUGGCAGCUUUAAAGUCUAAGUUACUACAGUUUCCGUGUCAAAGCAUCAUGUGUAGCAUAUCAGCAAUAAUUACAUAUUUAUAGAAAAUGGACACAUUGUCACUGCACUGAGCCAAUUCAUUUAAUUGUCUAAUGACUAACAUGGUUUCAAUUGUAAUGUAGCUAUUAAUGUGUAUAUACUAUGUAUACACAUUAUGUAUAAGCUUUUCUCUGGGCCAAACUGCUUCAUUCAAAAAAAAAAUUUUUUUUUUUUUUUUUUGCGCCUUAUGACAAAUUUGGAGGGCAUUUUUUUCAUGAACAAAGGCUUUGAUGCAUAUUCCUUUCUAUGUGAAAUGGGUAGUAGUGUUCCCUGAGGAAAGUUGCACAGUGAAAACCAGUCUAGUUGUGACCCACUUUGUGUUUUUUUUUUAAUCUCUAUUACACAAGUUGAAUUUUACUGAAUUUGUAAUUUGUCGGUUUGUUUAAUGAAGUUUGGUUGAUGCCAUCUUUUGCACUGCUGAAGUGAAAUCUUGCUUAUUAGUUAGCUUUUUGCUAAUCUCAGUAUGGGCAAUGUAACAACGAAUCCAAAUGGCUGGACAGACUUCUUGUGUUUUGUAAAUAUAAAAAUGACUGUUCUGUAUGUGUGUUUUCUGUGGUAAAGUGAAGCUUCGAGUGAAGCUUCACUUAGAGUGAUUCUUUGUUUAGCAAGUUUAGAGUGGUGAUAAUAUGGUAAGAAAUAAUAUAAAUGUUGAAGGAAGCAUCACAACAGAACUGUAGGAGUCCAAAUUUAAAACAAAAAUACCAACAAGUAUCUAGAAUAUACCACGUUUUAUUAUUUAAAAUCAUUGUAUUAAGUUUUUUGUUCAAAAUAAAAAUUUGAAUACAAUCAAAACAUUAACAAUAAUGUAUUUUUGUUUACUGUCUUUCCUUUUUUUAUUUUAUAUUUUUGUAAAUAACAUGUUCCACCAUUCAUAGCAGAAUUACUGGGAGAAUUCUGUCAAGUGUUAAUUUUGAAAUCUUCCUUUUUACCUGCACUACAGUCAGGCUUAUGGCUUCACAUUGGGCUUUUCCACGUUGGUUGCAUGUUAGAACCACCCAGAGAACUUUAAAAAAAAAAAAAA